AUACGUAGGGAGCGAGCGUUGUCCGGAAUUACUGGGCGUAAAGGGUGCGUAGGCGGGACUGCAAGUCAGAUGUGAAAUGCCGGGGCUCAACCCCGGAGCUGCAUUUGAAACUGUGGUUCUUGAGUGAGGUAGAGGUAAGCGGAAUUCCUAGUGUAGCGGUGAAAUGCGUAGAUAUUAGGAGGAACAUCGGUGGCGAAGGCGGCUUACUGGGCCUUUACUGACGCUGAGGCACGAAAGCGUGGGGAGCAAACAGGAUUAGAUACCCUGGUAGUCCACGUUGUAAACGAUGAUGACUAGGUGUGGGGGGACUGAACCCUUCCGUGCCGCAGGUAACACAAUAAGUCAUCCACCUGGGGAGUACGGCCGCAAGGUUGAAACUCAAAUGAAUUGACGGGG
rnacentral:rRNA from 1 species